AGGACGAACGCUGGCGGCGUGCUUAACACAUGCAAGUCGAGCGGAAAGGCCCUUCGGGGUACUCGAGCGGCGAACGGGUGAGUAACACGUGAGCAACCUGCCCUUAGCUCUGGGAUAGCUCCGGGAAACCGGAAUUAAUACCGGAUACGACCUAGGCCGACAUCGGCCAUGGUGGAAAGUUUUUCGGCUAGGGAUGGACUCGCGGCCUAUCAGCUAGUUGGUGGGGUAAAGGCCUACCAAGGCGACGACGGGUAGCCGGCCUGAGAGGGCGACCGGCCACACUGGGACUGAGACACGGCCCAGACUCCUACGGGAGGCAGCAGUGGGGAAUCUUGCGCAAUGGGCGAAAGCCUGACGCAGCGACGCCGCGUGGGGGAUGAAGGCCUUCGGGUUGUAAACCCCUUUCAGCAGGGACGAAGCGAAGUGACGGUACCUGCAGAAGAAGCGCCGGCUAACUACGUGCCAGCAGCCGC
rnacentral:rRNA from 1 species